rnacentral:lncRNA from 1 species
GAUGAAGCUUUUCCUCCUUGCCACGAAAUUCCAAUGCUCCUUUAUGGUUAGGGUUUCAACUUCUUAAAUAGGGUGGAUUAGGUGUUCUCAUGGGCUUUUUAAUAAGUGAUUUAUCCAUAAGAAUAAAAGUGUGAAGUGAGGUGUAAAAUGUUGUUAUUUUGGGCCAAACUUAAGUGAAUAGAUGUCCAAUGCAUGGCCAAAAGAGGUAAAAAAAAUGUGACUGGUUUGUGCAGCAUGCUUAGAAAAUCUGAUUGGGCCAGCCAGACCCAAAAUCUGCCUAGAAAAUCAAGUCAUGGUGCCCACUUUAAAUGAAUGUAUCU